UUACGGCCAUAGAACCUUGAAACACCGGUUCCUGGAGGAUCACCGAAGUUAAGCAACGUAGAUCCUGGCCAGUAUGUAGAUGGGUGAUCGCUUGGGAAUACCAGGUAAUGUAA